CCGUCCGAGUUGUAAUCUAGAGAAGCGUUUUCCGCGCUGGACCGUGUACAAGUCUCCUGGAAGGGAGCGUCAUAGAGGGUGAGAAUCCCGUCUUUGACACGGACGACCAAGUGCUAUGUGAUGCGCUCUCGACGAGUCGAGUUGUUUGGGAAUGCAGCUCAAAACGGGUGGUAAAUUCCAUCUAAAGCUAAAUACAGGCGAGAGACCGAUAGCGAACAAGUACCGUGAGGGAAAGAUGAAAAGAACUUUGGAAAGAGAGUUAAACAGUACGUGAAAUUGCUGAAAGGGAAACGCUUGAUGUCAGUCGCGUCGGCCGGGGAUCAACCUUGCUUCUCGCUGGGUGUACUUCCCGGUCGACGGGUCAGCAUCGGUUUCGGUCGCCGUACAAUGGCGAGGGGAAUGUGGCACCCUUYGGGGUGUGUUAUAGCCUUUCGUCGUAUGCGGUGGUCGGGACCGAGGAACUCGGCACGGCUUCGGUCUGUGCUUAGGAUGCUGGCAUAAUGGCCUUAAGCGACCCGUCUUGAAACACGGACCAAGGAGUCUAACAUGCCUGCGAGUGUUUGGGUGGCAAACCCAAGCGCGAAAUGAAAGUGAAAGUCGAGACCUCUGUCGUGGAGGGCAUCGACGCCCGGACCUGAGUCUUUGACGACGGAUCUGCGGUAGAGCAUGUAUGUUGGGACCCGAAAGAUGGUGAACUAUGCCUGAAUAGGGUGAAGCCAGAGGAAACUCUGG
rnacentral:rRNA from 1 species